UGUCAGGUGCGCCCGGCACGCCGCCCGCCCGCCGGUGCGGCAGCCGCGGGCGGGAAGCGGGGAGAUGGUUGUUUUGUUGUUUUUUUUUCCUUCUUUCCCUUAAUCCUUCCGCAUGUCCUCCCCUCCCACCCUCCGCUUUUUUUUUUCCGUUUAACUUUUUUUUUUUUUUUUUUUUUUUUUUUUCCUGCUCGCUGAGGGAGGGAGGGAGAGAGGGGGUCUGCUGACAGCGGAGAUUUUGCGCGUGGGGCCACGGCAGCCGCGCCCGUGGCUUCCUUCCACGCCUCACCCCGCGCCGAGGGGAGUCACGGGGCUGACGAGCGGCCACGGAGGACGCCUGCGGCCGCCGGGGAGCUCCGCCGCUCUGACCCGGAGCGGGCCGGGACGGGCUGCCCGGCAGCCGCAGCCGAGGAGGUAACGCCGCUGUGGGAGCUGCCGGAAACGGGAAGCACGGCGGCCGCUUCCCGCCCUUCCCGCCGCCGUGAGAGGAGCGCCCGCGGAGCCCGCCCUGAGGGCCGAGCGCUGCGCCGGGCCCCGAGCUGAGGGCUGUGGAGAGGAUCCCUCCCGCCUGGCUGGUAGCGGGCUCCCAGAGAGAGUGUCUGCCCUGCCGGCACAGCAGAUGCCUUGGGUGAUUCAGAAAUGAGCAGUGGGAGCGCUUGGUGAUUUUCACAGGAGGAAGACAGCAGCCAGCAAGGCCCCGGCUCCCUGCCAUCUUGAGCCCUUCCUGGUGAUUUGCAGCAGCACAGAUAAGUACGGAGCACUGAGGACUGAAGUCAGCGUUUGGACCUGACUUUAUUUUAGUAUAAAUGACCACAUGAGAUUCAUACCAAUGAAGAUAUAGGAGUAAAAUAGCAGAAGUACAUAAAUGCCUCUUCUAAAAGUGCAGUUUCGAGUAUUUAAGGUUAAUGAGAUAGAUAGAAAAGAGUCCUCUUCACGUGUGUUUAUGUUUACAUGUCCUAACAGAAAGUGACGCAUUAUCUUACAUACCAGGUGUGUUUUGGAUGAAUCUCUAUCACCCUAUUGAUAUCAGGGGAACUGAAUUGAUUUAAAUUAGUGAAGGAACUAACCCAGCUAAGUUUUAAAUAAUUGCAAUAAUAUUCUCUGUCUCUUUCAGUCAGAUUUGCCCUUCGUGUUUAGUUGUUUCAUAAUCCUGCAGCUCUCCAUUUCAUCUUUACAAGACCAGAAUCUCUAUUUUCCUGUGAACAGGGAAAAAAACCCACCACCGUAAAAGGCAGUCCUUUUAUAUUCCAAUCUUUAUUUCCUUGUUUAAAUAAACUUAGGGCACAAAAGCUCA